AAAUCCCUCUGACAUUCCUCCACUGCUCUCAAAGACCUCAGUGGAACAUUAUGCGUGGAAAAGCUCACUGGGGCCGCAGGUGCCACAGAGACCCCCAAUAAAGACCUGUCUUUGGUGCCCCCAACUUUACAUCUGUCUGCUUCUGUGGCUUGGCAUUGCUGGAAGCAGAGAUUGGGGGUCAGAGAAGAGGAAGGCAAAUCCCAGGUAGCAUUCCUGUUCCAUGGAUUUCAGCCCAUACCUGGAUCCUGGUAUAUGGGCUGAAGGAGGGUAGUGGAUGAGGUGUGCCUUCCCAUCAGCGCAGGGAAGCAAUGAGGGGACAUGCCACUGUGGACGCCCUUUGACAUCAAGCUCUCUAGUCCCUGGUGCUCACAGGCAGGCAGGCAUUUUCCAGUUGAGAAGGCAGCCUACACGGGGGGCUACCUAUGGUCCCAGAACACACCGCUGGGAGGUGAGCAGCCAGGCCACUGUGAUCUGGAUUCACACACUGGCCCCUAACAGCUGUCUGUCGCCCACACCAACAGCCAGCCUCCUGCGCUUGACUCUUGGGGCAGAACAGCCCACCAGGGGCCUGGGUCUCCCUGCUCACACCCUAGAGUGAAGUUAACCGGAGAGUGAGGGUUCCAGACCACGGUGCAGGGCUUUCUGAAAGCUGCUGGGGUAAGUGGCCCAUGGUGAGCCGGCGCCUUGGCCCUCCCACCGGGGCAGGAACGCCCGCUGGCCGCGAGAGGACAAUGUGGGUCCCUGUCUGGGCCGAGCAAGCCCAGGAGGGAGAGCCCUCCUUCCCCUCUCCCUCUCCCCUAGGACCCACAGCUCAGCCUGAUGGGGUGUGACAGCUGCAAUUAGAGGCAAGACGCAUUCCCGCCCUCAGAGCAUUAACAGCAAAUUGGAGAAGAAAAAUAACAAGAAAGGCUCUACUGCCAGCAGCCUGGAGCCCCAGGGGGCGGAGAUGGAGGGAGAGGCAGGGGGCUCUGAAGUCGUGAUUAAGGUCACCCUCAAGUGCCACUCAAAUGGUAGAUGGUUAGUUUUGGUGGGGUGAGCUAUGCGAGGACAGAGAGGCACUUGUUUUGAGCCCGCGCUGUUUACCAGGCAGUGUGCACAUCUCUUUCAAGCUUUGAGUCACCCUAGAAAGAAUGAUCUUCCAGGUACAGCAAUGGAGGCUCGUAGUGAGAUCAUGCAAACUGCCCCGAUCAUGCUGCUAGCAAAGGAAAAGAACCAGAAAUUGAACCAGAGGGUUAUUUGGCUCCCAAACCCCUGUUCUUUCCACUCUACACCUUCGUCUGCAGUUUGCCAACAGAGUUCCCUCUUUCUGGGGGGCAGAGCCCACGCAUCCUGUUGUCUCCCCAAUAAACUCUGACGUUACUCUGUGAAGGGAGGUUGGCUGUGGCUGCCUUUGGUAGUGAUGGUUGAUGUAUGUGUGGGGACAAUGUGCACUGAUUUGCUGAUUCCUGAGAGGAGGGCCACCCAGCACCAGCUGGGUGAUGAGAGGAUAACACCAGCUCUGAGUCUGGUCUGAUUCCAUAGGAAACCAAGCCACCUCUUGGCUAUUCACCUGUGACUCUUCUAUUUUCAUGGGCUAGUCAUAGUAGUUGAGAUCAACUGAGCAAAACUUGAUGAAUUCCACCCAGUGCCAGCUAGGAACCCAGAACAGCAUGAUGCAAAGGGCCCAGUGCUGACCUCCAGGGGAUCCAGUGGAAAAGGAAGAGGCCAACUCCACCAUCAAUGAGCCAGAACAGAUUCAAAGGACUGAAGACUCAUUUUAACUUGGGCCAGAACAAAGGAACUAGGAAGUGACAUCUGCUGCCAACAUAAUUCACAGGUGCCAGGCACCUUUGCCUUUGUGCUAUUUCCUUUUCACUACAUGCUGGAAGGAGUGCUGUUACUCUUAUUUUACACACGGAUAGGCUCAGAGAAGUUAAACAACUCGUCAAGAUCGCACAGCAGAAAAGCAGAGCUGGGAUUCUAACAGUUCCCAUUUACUUGCAAUCUUGUGCCUUUUACCUUAACCCCCAAACUGUUCCAGAGGUAAAUCAAGAACAAAACGUGUCCUCCCCACAUAUAAUGAAUGGCAUGCCAACUGUGCGGUGGAGGAGUUCUGCCUGGGUCUUGAUGUCAUGCCCCACCCACUUUCAUGCUUUGCUAAUCAAAGAUUAUGGUGAUUCAUUAACCCACCUGUAAUUUUUACUUUUCUGUCACCUUCUGGGCUCCUGCUGCGACAAUGAUGAGAACUGUUUUGCUGAGGCCAAGUGAAGAAAUGAAUGGGACUAAUCCUAGGGCCUAAGCGAUGCUGGAGAUCAUGGGGACCCGGGGCGGGGUGGAUGGAGAGGAGAUGGUGAAAGCCAGCAGAGAGAAACUGACAGCUUGAUUCUGCCUCUGGGGCUCAUUUUGUGGUUAAUUAGGACAUGCAAAUGAACUGGAAGCUCAUUUAAUACCCUCCCUGGCAUACAGCCCCACCCCACACCUGGCCCACUUCCCUGGCAGGUACAGGGGCCCACUGGCCCAGGCAUCUGCUCAGGUCUCCACCUGCUUCAUGUGGCCCCGUGGCCAGAACCUGUACAUGUUUUCUAACCUUAGUGGAACGAAAAGGUCCUUGCUGGGACUGGUGGGACCUGUUCCUUUUUAAUCUUUCAGAUGGGACCGCUCUCUCCCUGAGGCACUUCCUCUGAACCUCUCCCCUCAGGGUGAUCUCUGAACCCAAACUAAGGGAAGCCUGGUUCACUUAUGCCCCCGUAGGUAGUGAGCCAUCUAUCCUCACCACACCCAGCUACUCCCCAGAGGCUUGGGGAAGGGGCUCCUUGUCUUUUCCAAGCCACACCAGCAUUUCCUGCAGGGCCCAAGGAAAAAGCAAGACCAUAGUCUGUCUCCAGCUUCUCCAAAGCAGCUGUCAAUCUGCCUUAGGUGACCUCCCCACCCAGGCAUUUAAGGCACCUGUACCAGCACCAUGGUAUGAGCACUGGAUUUGGAGUCAGAGAGAUCGGUUUCUGUCACUGUGCACUUGAACACGUUGCUUGACUUCUCUGAGCCUUGUUUCCCUUAUCCGUGGAACAGGGGUAAGGCAGGACUUCGGUGGGGUUUAGAGGACACAAUGCACCUGGGGGUCACACUCACUGCCUGGAACACAGAAACUCCACCAAUACUGCACUGCCCGUUCCCUAGGACAGCACUGAGCAUGUGACCCAAGGUGAAAUCAAAAUAAAGUGUUUUCUCUGA